CUGGUUCCUGCUCGCCGCCGUGCCGCGCGCGCCGGCCAGCCACUGGGCGCUCGGCGCUCCCAGCCUCGAGUUGUGCAAUCCUUUGUAGCACGCCAGCGAGUCCUCCUCCUUCGCUGUUGCCUCUCGCCCUCUCUCUCUCUCCUUUUUUUUUUUUCUUCAAGCUGUGAGCUCAACCGAUGAGUCAGAGUCGUGCAAUCCUGACACUGCAUCGCAGGACUGGGGGUGACACGCAGGGAGGGAGAGCGCUCUCCAGGCGGACUGUAAGGGCGCGAGGCGCGCCGACGCUGCCGUGUCUCGAGCAGUGGGUGACAGCACGCACGUCCCGCCCGGGCCCUGCCAGCAAACUUCCCCGCUUCGGGAGGCGCGGGCUUGGCGAAAGCCCCGCUAACGCCGCGGGGAGGCGACGGCGCCUGUUUGUUUUUAAAAUCCGGGAGUGCGUGCAGGCGGCUGGGCUCCUCGGAGGCGACCCAAGGCGGUGGCGGCGGCGGCGGCCCGCGGCGGAAGGAAGGGAGACUGCUGGGGCCGGAGGCCGAGCGGGAGCUGGAGCUCAACACUGUUGCUGGGACUCCUUGUCUCCUUGUUCUGCCCUGCCUGCUCAGAGCUGCUGCCAGCCAGCUGUGAAGGAACAAUAAAGAAUAAAUCAGCAGAGGAGAAAAGGGCUUACAGCAGCUGCUCAGAGACGGGAGAAAUGCAAGGAAUGUGCCAGCAUUUGGCAGAGGUCCUGCAUCUUGACCAGGCCUGAGGAAGGGCUUGAUGCCGACACAAUGCUUGGGUAAGAAAGAUGGGCAGCUCUCUGCACCUACCCUGCAGCCCUCUGAGAGGUUCCAAGCAGCCGUGCUCACCUGCCUUCCUAGCAGCUAGUUUCUGUGCUUAGUAGUCACUGGGAGGAUCAGGGAACACAUUCACUUCCACACCAAGCCUGGUAACUAGAGCUGGCUGGACAGGAA
rnacentral:lncRNA from 1 species